GGCUAACACCGGAUAAGACCACGGGAGCCUCGGCUCCUGAGGUAAAAGAUGGCCUAUGCUNGCAAGCUAUUACCCCGGGAUGGGCCUGCGCACCAUUAGCUAGUUGGUGGGGNAACGGCUCACCAAGGCGAAGAUGGUUAGCUGGUCUGAGAGGAUGAUCAAGCCACACUGGGACUGAGACACGGCCCAGACUCCUACGGGAGGCAGCAGUGGGGGAUAUUGCGCAAUGGGCGAAAGCCUGACGCAGCGACGCCGCGUGGGWGAUGAAGGCCUUCAGGUCGNAAAGCCCUGUAGGAGGGACGAAACCUCGCCGACCUAAUAUGUCGGCGACCUGACGGNACCUCCAAAGGAAAGCGCCGGCUAACUCCCGUGCCAGCAGCCGCRGUAAUACNGANGGUGC
rnacentral:rRNA from 1 species